rnacentral:rRNA from 1 species
AGGUAUCCUGCAGUCGACGAUUCCUACGGGAGGCAGCAGUGGGGAAUCUUAGACAAUGGGGGAAACCCUGAUCUAGCCAUGCCGCGUGAGUGAUGAAGGCCUUAGGGUCGUAAAGCUCUUUCGCCAGGGAUGAUAAUGACAGUACCUGGUAAAGAAACCCCGGCUAACUCCGUGCCAGCAGCCGCGGUAAUACGGAGGGGGUUAGCGUUGUUCGGAAUUACUGGGCGUAAAGCGCGCGUAGGCGGAUUAGUCAGUCAGAGGUGAAAUCCCAGGGCUCAACCCUGGAACUGCCUUUGAUACUGCUAGUCUAGAGUUCGAGAGAGGUGAGUGGAAUUCCGAGUGUAGAGGUGAAAUUCGUAGAUAUUCGGAGGAACACCAGUGGCGAAGGCGGCUCACUGGCUCGAUACUGACGCUGAGGUGCGAAAGUGUGGGGAGCAAACAGGAUUAGAUACCCUGGUAGUCCACACCGUAAACGAUGAAUGCCAGUCGUCGGCAAGUAUACUUGUCGGUGACACACCUAACGGAUUAAGCAUUCCGCCUGGGGAGUACGGUCGCAAGAUUAAAACUCAAAUGAAUUGACGG